GGCCGCGGGGCCGCGAAGCCGCUGCCUCUCGGGAGCUGGCCGUGCGCUCUGGCCCCGCACCCCCCGCCCGCAGCCCCGACCGCUCCGCCCGCGCCCCGCCGGCUCCCGUCACUGGAUAAGAGAAGACGCGAAGCAUGUCGGAGUUUUGGUUAAUUUCUGCCCCUGGAGAUAGGGAAAAUUUGCAAGCUCUGGAGAGGAUGAAUACUGUAACCUCCAAGUCCAACCUGUCUUAUAAUACCAAAUUCGCUAUUCCUGAUUUCAAGGUGGGGACCUUGGAUUCCCUGGUUGGCCUCUCUGAUGAGUUGGGGAAACUCGACACCUUUGCUGAAAGCCUCAUAAGAAGAAUGGCUCAGAGCGUGGUGGAAGUCAUGGAGGACUCGAAGGGGAAGGCACAGGAACACCUCCUGGCAAAUGGAGGCUUGAAAGAAAAGAUGAAAUGUUUAAAGAUUGACUUAACCUCCUUUGUGACCCACUUUGAAUGGGACAUGGCCAAAUAUCCUGCCAAGCAGCCGCUCGUGAGUGUGGUGGACACCAUAGCCAAGCAACUGGCACAGAUCGAGACGGACCUGAAGUCCCGAACGGCAGCCUAUAACACUCUGAAGACGAACCUGGAGAACCUGGAGAAGAAAUCCAUGGGGAACCUCUUCACCCGGACGCUGAGCGAUAUUGUGAGCAAAGAGGACUUUGUGCUGGGUUCUGAAUAUCUCAUCACGCUUCUGGUCAUUGUCCCCAAACCAAACUACUCACAAUGGCAAAAAACCUACGAAUCUCUCUCGGACAUGGUGGUCCCUCGAUCAACCAAACUCAUUACUGAGGACAAGGAGGGCGGCCUUUUCACUGUGACUCUGUUUCGAAAAGUGAUUGAAGAUUUCAAAAGCAAAGCCAGAGAAAACAAGUUCACUGUUCGUGAAUUUUACUAUGAUGAGAAAGAAAUUAAAAGGGAAAGGGAGGAGAUGGCCCGAUUGCUGUCUGAUAAGAAGCAACAGUAUCAAACUUCCUGUGUUGCUCUUAAAAAGGGAUCAUCUACCUUCCCGGACCACAAGGUUAAGGUAACCCCGCUAGGUAACCCCGAUAGGCCCGCUGCGGGGCAGAGCGACAGAGAGAGAGAGAGUGAGGGCGAGGGUGAGGUAAGCAACGCCCCGGGAAGCCGGGGGUCCCUGGCUCGCGCCUCCUCGCCAGCUCAGGCACCUUCUGAGAAAAUGAAUCUUUGCAUUUUCUGUUCUCUCACAUGGCUUUUGAGGUCUUAAAUUUGAGGAGCCCAGAAUCAUGCCUUCCUCCUAAUCUGCAGGGCCUCUUUGGAGCUGCCUCUGCCAGCAGUGAAGGGUGCUUGUCUGCCAGGGUGCCUCUCCCUGGGCCCCUGGCUGGAGGUGGCUGGAGCUGGGACGGGCAGGACCUGGUGGUGGUGGACAGCUCAGCUCUCCUCCCUCGGCUGCCCUGGCUGGACCCACCCCUGACCUUUGUGGGCAGUUGCAGUGUCAGGCAGGAGCUCAGAGCUCUUGCUCCUAGACUCUGAGCUCCCGGGAGGACCUGCCACAUCAGCAUCAGUGGCCGCUGAUGUAGCCACGUGAUGUGGGGCUGUGAGGUGCCCCUGGAGGCAGCUGCUGUGGAUGGUCCCAGGAGCCUGGGGGCAGAGUCUUCAGGAAUGCGGGCUCCCUGGCUGCGCAGUGUCAGGCGGAAGCCCCUGGCUGCAUGCUGAACGUCCCAAGGGCCCCCUGCUGCGCUGGCUCAAGGUGAACUUCAGCGAAGCCUUCAUUG